GACGAACGCUGGCGGCGCGCUUAACACAUGCAAGUCGAACGGAAAGGCCUGCUUUCCCUUGUGGAUUGCGGGUACUCGAGUGGCGAACGGGUGAGUAACACGUGAGUGAUCUGCCCCCAACUUGGGUAUAAGCCUGGGAAACUGGGUCUAAUUCCCGAUAGGACUGCAGGGUGGUGCCUGUGGUGGAAAACGAUUUUCUAGUGGUUGGGGAUGAGCUCGCGGCCUAUCAGCUUGUUGGUGGGGUAAUGGCCUACCAAGGCGGCGACGGGUAGCCGGCCUGAGAGGGUGGACGGCCACAUUGGGACUGAGAUACGGCCCAGACUCCUACGGGAGGCAGCAGUGGGGAAUAUUGCACAAUGGGCGGAAGCCUGAUGCAGCGACGCCGCGUGGGGGAUGACGGCCUUCGGGUUGUAAACUCCUUUCGACCGCGAGGAAGCCACCUGGAUGGAAGGGUGGUGACGGUAGUGGUAGAAGAAGCACCGGCUAACUACGUG
rnacentral:rRNA from 1 species